rnacentral:rRNA from 1 species
CGCUAGCGGCAGGCCUAACACAUGCAAGUCGAGGGGCAUCGGGAUUGAAGCUUGCUUCAAUUGCCGGCGACCGGCGCACGGGUGCGUAACGCGUAUGUAACCUACCUAUAACAGGGGCAUAACACUGAGAAAUUGGUACUAAUUCCCCAUAAUAUUCGGAGAGGCAUCUCUCCGGGUUGAAAACUCCGGUGGUUAUAGAUGGACAUGCGUUGUAUUAGCUAGUUGGUGAGGUAACGGCUCACCAAGGCAACGAUACAUAGGGGGACUGAGAGGUUAACCCCCCACGCUGGUACUGAGACACGGACCAGACUCCUACGGGAGGCAGCAGUGAGGAAUAUUGGUCAAUGGACGCAAGUCUGAACCAGCCAUGCCGCGUGCAGGAAGACGGCUCUAUGAGUUGUAAACUGCUUUUGUACGAGGGUAAACUCACCUACGUGUAGGUGACUGAAAGUAUCGUACGAAUAAGGAUCGGCUAACUCCGUGCCAGCAGCCGCGGUAAUACGGAGGAUUCAAGCGUUAUCCGGAUUUAUUGGGUUUAAAGGGUGCGUAGGCGGUUUGAUAAGUUAGAGGUGAAAUCCCGGGGCUUAACUCCGGAACUGCCUCUAAUACUGUUAGACUAGAGAGUAGUUGCGGUAGGCGGAAUGUAUGGUGUAGCGGUGAAAUGCUUAAAGAUCAUACAGAACACCGAUUGCGAAGGCAGCUUACCAAACUAUAUCUGACGUUGAGGCACGAAAGCGUGGGGAGCAAACAGGAUUAGAUAACCCUGGUAGUCCAGGCAGUAAACGAUGAUAACUCGUUGUCGGCGAUACACAGUCGGUGACUAAGCGAAAGCGAUAAGUUAUCCACCUGGGGAGUACGUUCGCAAGAAUGAAACUCAAAGGAAUUGACGGGGGCCCGCACAAGCGGAGGAACAUGUGGUUUAAUUUGAUGAUACGCGAGGAACCUUACCCGGGCUUGAAAGUUACUGACGAUUCUGGAAACAGGAUUUCCCUUCGGGGCAGGAAACUAGGUGCUGCAUGGUUGUCGUCAGCUCGUGCCGUGAGGUGUCGGGUUAAGUCCCAUAACGAGCGCAACCCCUACCGUUAGUUGCCAUCAGGUCAAGCUGGGCACUCUGGCGGGACUGCCGGUGUAAGCCGAGAGGAAGGUGGGGAUGACGUCAAAUCAGCACGGCCCUUACGUCCGGGGCUACACACGUGUUACAAUGGUAGGUACAGAGGGUCGCUACCCCGCGAGGGGAUGCCAAUCUCGAAAGCCUAUCUCAGUUCGGAUUGGAGGCUGAAACCCGCCUCCAUGAAGUUGGAUUCGCUAGUAAUCGCGCAUCAGCCAUGGCGCGGUGAAUACGUUCCCGGGCCUUGUACACACCGCCCGUCAAGCCAUGGAAGCUGGGGGUGCCUGAAGUUCGUGACCGCAAGGAGCGACCUAGGGCAAAACCG